CCUACGGGAUGCAGCAGUGAGGAAUAUUGGUCAAUGGGCGCGAGCCUGAACCAGCCAAGUCGCGUGAAGGAUGACUGCCCUACGGGUUUUAAACUUCUUUUAUAAAGGAAUCAAGUGAGGCACGUGUUCCUUUUUGUAUGUACUUUAUGAAUAAGGAUAGGCUCACUCCGUGCCAGCAGCCGCGGUAAUACGGAGGAGCCGAGAGUUAUCCGGAUUUAUUGGGUUUAAAGGGAGCGUAGAUGGGCUGUUAAGUCAGGUGUGAAAGUUUGCGGCUCAACCGUAAAAUUGCAAUUGAUACUGGCAGCCUUGAGUACAGUUGAGGCAGGCGGAAUUCGUGGUGUAGCGGUGAAAUGCUUAGAUAUCACGAAGAACUCCGAUUGCGAAGGCAGCCUACUAAACUGCCACUGACAUUGAUGCUCGAAAGUGUGGGUAUCAAACAGGAUUAGAGACCCGGGUAGUC
rnacentral:rRNA from 1 species